CUUCGGGGGACGAUAACGGCGUCGAGCGGCGGACGGGUGAGUAAUGCCUAGGAAAUUGCCCUGAUGUGGGGGAUAACCAUUGGAAACGAUGGCUAAUACCGCAUGAUGCCUACGGGCCAAAGAGGGGGACCUUCGGGCCUCUCGCGUCAGGAUAUGCCUAGGUGGGAUUAGCUAGUUGGUGAGGUAAGGGCUCACCAAGGCGACGAUCCCUAGCUGGUCUGAGAGGAUGAUCAGCCACACUGGAACUGAGACACGGUCCAGACUCCUACGGGAGGCAGCAGUGGGGAAUAUUGCACAAUGGGCGCAAGCCUGAUGCAGCCAUGCCGCGUGUGUGAAGAAGGCCUUCGGGUUGUAAAGCACUUUCAGUCGUGAGGAAGGUAGUGUAGUUAAUAGCUGCAUUAUUUGACGUUAGCGACAGAAGAAGCACCGGCUAACUCCGUGCCAGCAGCCGCGGUAAUACGGAGGGUGCGAGCGUUAAUCGGAAUUACUGGGCGUAAAGCGCAUGCAGGUGGUUUGUUAAGUCAGAUGUGAAAGCCCGGGGCUCAACCUCGGAAUUGCAUUUGAAACUGGCAGACUAGAGUACUGUAGAGGGGGGUAGAAUUUCAGGUGUAGCGGUGAAAUGCGUAGAGAUCUGAAGGAAUACCGGUGGCGAAGGCGGCCCCCUGGACAGAUACUGACACUCAGAUGCGAAAGCGUGGGGAGCAAACAGGAUUAGAUACCCUGGUAGUCCACGCCGUAAACGAUGUCUACUUUGGAGGUUGUGGCCUUGAGCCGUGGCUUUCGGAGCUAACGCGUUAAGUAGACCGCCUGGGGAGUACGGUCGCAAGAUUAAAACUCAAAUGAAUUGACGGGGGCCCGCACAAGCGGUGGAGCAUGUGGUUUAAUUCGAUGCAACGCGAAGAACCUUACCUACUCUUGACAUCCAGAGAACUUUCCAGAGAUGGAUUGGUGCCUUCGGGAACUCUGAGACAGGUGCUGCAUGGCUGUCGUCAGCUCGUGUUGUGAAAUGUUGGGUUAAGUCCCGCAACGAGCGCAACCCUUAUCCUUGUUUGCCAGCGAGUAAUGUCGGGAACUCCAGGGAGACUGCCGGUGAUAAACCGGAGGAAGGUGGGGACGACGUCAAGUCAUCAUGGCCCUUACGAGUAGGGCUACACACGUGCUACAAUGGCGCAUACAGAGGGCAGCCAACUUGCGAAAGUGAGCGAAUCCCAAAAAGUGCGUCGUAGUCCGGAUUGGAGUCUGCAACUCGACUCCAUGAAGUCGGAAUCGCUAGUAAUCGUGGAUCAGAAUGCCACGGUGAAUAC
rnacentral:rRNA from 1 species